rnacentral:rRNA from 1 species
UGGGGAAUAUUGGACAAUGGGGGGAACCCUGAUCCAGCCAUGCCGCGUGUGUGAAGAAGGCCUUAUGGUUGUAAAGCACUUUAAGCGAGGAGGAGGGUACUGGUAUUAAUACUACCAGGUACUGGACGUUACUCGCAGAAUAAGCACCGGCUAACUCUGUGCCAGCAGCCGCGGUAAUACAGAGGGUGCGAGCGUUAAUCGGAUUUACUGGGCGUAAAGCGUGCGUAGGCGGCUAAUUGAGUCGGAUGUGAAAUCCCCGAGCUUAACUUGGGAAUUGCAUUCGAUACUGGUUAGCUAGAGUGUGGGAGAGGAUGGUAGAAUUCCAGGUGUAGCGGUGAAAUGCGUAGAGAUCUGGAGGAAUACCGAUGGCGAAGGCAGCCAUCUGGCCUAACACUGACGCUGAGGUACGAAAGCAUGGGGAGCAAACA